UGUGAAUAAGAGUCAGGGAAUCACCAGGGCCCUGGGGUCCCCAGCCGCUUCUUUGGGUCCAAAGAUGCCUCGGCCAAUGCAGGGCUUCUGCUCAUCUCUGGGCCACAGCCUGAGGACAAGGUUGACUCUUCCUGU